rnacentral:tRNA from 1 species
GCGAGAGUGGCGGAAUUGGUAGACGCGCCGGAUUUAGGAUCCGGUUCUUUUAGAAUGGGAGUUCAAGUCUCCCCUCUCGCA